CCAGCAACUUGGAGGAAUGUAUAGCGAAAGCUAGUUGCAUUAACUAACUGUUAAUGCAGCAACGACUCUGUCGUGUAAAGUUCCGGGUAGUGUUCUGAUAAUGACAUUUCCUACCUGUGUGUCUCGACCAACUUACGUGCCAGCAGUCGCGGUAAUACGUUAGAGACUAGUGUUAUUCGUCUUCAGUAGGUAUAUAGGGUACCUAGACGGUCGUAACAGCCCCUAAAGGGUACUGUUAGUACUAGAGUUUUAUGAGAGGGGGGGUGUACUAAUGGUGUAGAGAUGAAAUUCUGUCAUACCAUUAUGAACAGGCAACAGCGAAGGCAACCCUUUAUGUGUAAACUGACGUUGAAGGACGAAGGCUUGGUCAACCAACAGGAUUAGAUACCCUAGCAGUCCAAGCAGACAAUGAUGAAUGUCAUAGACUAAUUAUUAUUAUUAUUAAAAAAGUUUGUCUAUAAAUGAAAGUGUAAGCAUUCCACCUCAAGAGUAACGUGGCAACGCGGAAACUGAAAUCAUUAGACCGUUUCUGAAACCAGUAGUGAAGUAUGUUGUUUAAUUUGAUGAUCCGCAAAACACCUUACCACAAUUUGUAUGUUUAGGAAUAAAUACAAGAGUUGCACGGCUGUCUUCAGUUAAUGUCGUGAGAUUUUGGUUAGUUCCAUUAAAUUAACGUAAACCCUUACUUUAUUUUAGUAAAUAGAGUAGUUCACCGCUAUAUUGGAUAUGAUAAAAGGGACUAAGACAAGUC
rnacentral:rRNA from 1 species